rnacentral:tRNA from 1 species
GUUUUAAUAGUUUAAAAAAAACAAUGGUCUUGUAAACCAACAUUAAAGUCCCCCCCUUUUUAAGACA